CUAAUUCCCAACACUCUAGAAUACAAAGAGGAGGUUUUAACAUUCCGUUACUUGUAUCAGUUUGACAUUGCUUUCAUCAAGAUAUAUAGUUCUCAUAUUAUCCUUAACUUGUCAAAUGGGUUUAAAAAUUACAUACUCAACAAAAAGAUGAAAAUUAUAACUAAUACAGAGACAAUACAAACGCUCAACUUGUAAUACGAAGUCACAUUACCCCUACGUGUACACAGUUCUGCUUCAAGAGCUUCCAAAUCUUUCAACCAUACUGAUUUUGCAGUCUUGAGGUCCAACUUAUCCAGCUCCGCCGUGGCCUUAACAUAAUCAUCUCCAAGAGCAUCACGUCCCUCGAUAGUGAAUGUGUUAAAUCUCGCGGAUGUUAAAUAU
rnacentral:lncRNA from 1 species